AGUGAACGCUGGCGGCAGGCCUAACACAUGCAAGUCGAGCGGCAGCGCGGGGGCAACCCUGGCGGCGAGCGGCGGACGGGUGAGGAAUUCGUCGGAAUCUGCCUUUUUGUGGGGGAUAACGUAGGGAAACUUACGCUAAUACCGCAUACGUCCUACGGGAGAAAGUGGGGGACCGCAAGGCCUCACGCAGAAAGAUGAGCCGACGACCGAUUAGCUAGUUGGUGGGGUAAAGGCCCACCAAGGCGACGAUCGGUAGCUGGUCUGAGAGGAUGAUCAGCCACACUGGGACUGAGACACGGCCCAGACUCCUACGGGAGGCAGCAGUGGGGAAUAUUGGACAAUGGGCGCAAGCCUGAUCCAGCCAUGCCGCGUGUGUGAAGAAGGCCUUCGGGUUGUAAAGCACUUUUGUCCGGAAAGAAAUGCCUGGAGCUAAUACCUUCGGGGGAUGACGGUACCGGAAGAAUAAGCACCGGCUAACUUCGUG
rnacentral:rRNA from 1 species